GGUAAAAUGGCCGAGGAAGCAUUAGACUGUAAAUCUAAAGACAGGGGUGGAAGGCCCCUUUUUGCCAU
rnacentral:tRNA from 1 species